AACCAGACUUGAACCACACGGACACUCAGUCCUGUCUCAGCAGCUAGGGACUCUCGCACCUUGGAAAAUGGAAGAAAUCGUGAAAGUUUGAACUCUAAAGUUUGGACUAUAUAUCAGGCUACCCGUACCCCUUGCCAAGAGGUCAAACCAGAAGGGGUAAAACAGUAAGACCCGCCGAUGUCGAUUCGCAAGUGUAGAACACAAAUUUCUGU